UCAUCUCGCGACAUUUUGCGAGUCAGGGUUGGAAGUUGGAGGCCCGGCUUUGAGAGAGAGGAUUAGGGGGUCGACUGGUACGUCGGCUGUCCUCCAGCGGCGGUGGGACCCGAGAUGACUAGGUGAGGGCCUCCCGGUCAGCCUCCACAGCGCCUUCCGGCUCUGCCACAGCCUCGGACGCCAUCAGUCUUUGUCCCUGGACCGCAUCAGGCUGCACCUUUGAUCCCUCUCUCCGGUUGUGUCGGGGUCUAGGGAGGCGAUGUUCGAAGAGACGGCGGGAGGUGGAGUUGGCCGCGGUUUUCCGGCUCGCAACCUCCUCGCCCCGCCCGAGAGCAACCAGGCUUCAGGCCCCACCCCCUGGCCAGAUGGAUCCCUCCGCCCCGAACUGUGGCGCGGAAAGCACCGGUAAAGACAUAUGGUAUCCAGGAGAAAGAUGUCUUGUCCCUUCUCCAGAUAAUGAAAAACUUUGUGAAGCAAGCAUAAAAUCCAUCACAGUGGAUGAAAAUGGAAAGUCAUUUGCAGUCAUCUUAUAUUCAGAUUUUCAAGAAAGGAAAGUACCUCUUAAAAGACUUCAAGAAGUAAAACCUGUUAAAGAUUAUUCUAGGAGUUUCAUAUUUGAUGAUGAAGAUUUAGAAAAACCUUAUUUCCCAGACCGAAAAUUUCCGUCAUCUGCUGUUGCUUUUCGUUUAUCUGAAAAUGGAGACUCUAUUCCUUAUACUAUUAACAGGUAUUUGAGAGACUAUCAAAGGGAAGGAGUGCAGUUUCUUUAUGGACACUUCAUCCAAGGAAGAGGGUGUAUUCUUGGUGAUGAUAUGGGACUUGGAAAAACAGUACAGGUUAUUUCAUUUUUGGCUGCAGUUUUGCAUAAAAAGGGAACCCGUGAGGAUAUUGAAAAUAACAUGCCAGAGUUUUUACUAAGAAGUCUGAAAAAGGAACCUCCUCCUUCAAUAGCAAAAAAGAUGUUCUUAAUAGUUGCCCCUCUUUCUGUCCUCUACAACUGGAGGGAUGAAUUGGACACCUGGGGAUAUUUCAGAGUCACUAUUUUACAUGGUAAUAAAAAAGACAAUGAACUGAUUCGUGUAAAGCAGAGGAAAUGUGAAAUUGCUCUAACAACUUAUGAAACGCUUCGCUUAUGUCUGGAUGAACUUAACAGUUUAGAAUGGUCAGCUGUCAUUGUGGAUGAAGCUCAUAGAAUCAAGAAUCCAAAGGCUAGAGUAACAGAAGUUAUGAAAGCUUUAAAAUGUAACGUUCGUAUUGGCCUCACUGGAACCAUUCUUCAGAACAAUAUGAAAGAACUGUGGUGUGUUAUGGACUGGGCUGUACCAGGACUUUUAGGUAGCAGGAUCCACUUCAAGAAGCAGUUUUCUGAUCCAGUAGAACAUGGUCAGAGACACACAGCAACAAAAAGAGAACUAGCUACUGGCCGAAAGGCCAUGCGAAGGCUUGCGACAAAGAUGGCUGGAUGGUUUCUCAGGCGUACCAAGAUUCUCAUCAAGAAUCAGUUGCCUAAGAAGGAAGACCGGAUGGUGUAUUGUUCUCUAACAGAUUUUCAGAAAGCUGUCUAUCAAACAGUAUUAGAAACAGAAGAUGUGACUUUGAUACUUCAGUCUUCUGAGCCUUGUACCUGCGGUAGUGGCCGAAAAAGGAGAAAUUGUUGUUAUAAGACUAAUUCACAUGGUGAAACAGUGAAAACCUUGUACUUCAGUUACCUCGCAGUCCUUCAGAAGGUAGCUAACCACGUCUCGCUACUGCAGGCUGCUAGCACCUCCAAACAGCAGGAAACACUCAUCAAAAGGAUAUAUGAUCAGGUAUUUUCCAGAUUCCCAGAUUUUGUGCAGAAAAGCAAAGAUGCAGCCUUUGAAACACUUUCUGAUCCAAAAUAUAGUGGAAAAAUGAAGGUCCUUCAGCAGCUUUUAAGUCAUUGCAGGAAAAACAGAGAUAAAGUUCUUCUUUUUUCCUUCUCCACCAAGUUGCUUGAUGUGCUGCAGCAAUACUGUAUGGCAUGUGGGCUUGAUUACCGACGACUUGAUGGAAGUACAAAAUCAGAGGAAAGAAUCAAGAUUGUGAAAGAGUUCAACAGUACACAAGAUGUUAACAUUUGCCUUGUCUCCACAAUGGCUGGUGGACUAGGCCUCAAUUUUAUUGGUGCCAAUGUUGUUGUAUUAUUUGAUCCUACUUGGAAUCCAGCCAAUGAUCUUCAGGCCAUCGACAGAGCAUACAGGAUUGGGCAGUGCAGGGAUGUCAAAGUGUUUAGGCUGAUAUCUUUGGGAACUGUGGAGGAGAUCAUGUACUUACGACAGGUGUACAAGCAGCAACUUCACUGUGUGGUGGUUGGAAGUGAAAAUGCAAAGCGAUAUUUUGAAGCAGUUCAAGGAUCAAAAGAGCAUCGAGGAGAGCUUUUUGGGGUCUCUAAUCUCUUCAAACUACGGUCCCAAGGGUCUUGUCUUACGAAGGAUAUCCUGGAGAGAGAAGGCCAAGUGGAAGCAGGGGUCAUGACAGCCAGAACAUGGUUGAAAGAGGAACCUCAAGUGCACAAACUAGAAGCACCUGCAGAGCCUGACUAUCAAGAAUGCAGAGGGCCUGAGCAACCUGCAUGUGGUCUAUGCGAUGAUUUUAGUGAUGAUGAAUCAGUGGAAAACUCAAGAAUAAAGUCUACUAAAAACAAAGCAUCUGACUCAAGUAAAGCUUCAGGUUCUCCUGGACAGCUUACCUUACUCCAGUGUGGUUUCUCUAAAUUGCUUGAGACAAAAUGUAAAGCAGUUGAUGAUAGUGAUGAAAAUAUUGCAUCUGAUGAUAAAAGUUCUGAUGAACAGCCCACAUGCCUUUCAACUGAAGCCAAAGAUGUUGGUUGUCAGAAAAGUCAAGUCUCUCUUGGUACUUCAAAACAUCAGAAAUUAGCCAACAUCCUAAGUCCAAAUGAAAAAUAUAUUUUUGAUAAAAGUGAAAAAAUUUUAGAACAGACUAUUUCUUCUGAGUCUGAUGAUAAUACAAAUUUUAAAAAUACAACUGACCACCAUUGCAAUUUACAGAAUGUCACAGAAUCGGAAGAUAGCGAUGUCAUCUUUCCCACACAAUAUACAGCACAGAAAUCCCCUAAGAAUAGUGUAAGACUUAAAAUAGCCAAGGAUAAAUAUGAAGAUUCUGAAACAGAAAGCCCUGUAAAAAUAGCAAAUAAUGAUGAUGAUACAAAGACCGAUGUCAGAGAAAGUGGACGAAUUUCAAAACAAUUAAAUCCUGUGAACCUGAAAUCUAUUAUGAAAAGAAAAGGUAGUAGUGAUAUUAGUGAUGAGUCUGAUGACAUUGAAAUUUCCUCUAAGUCAAACGUAAAAAAACAAAGAGCUACUAGUUCACUGAGGUUUAAAAGAAAAAAGGAAAAUAAAAGGGAACUUGACACUUUCCCUAAAGCAAUGAAGAAAGCAAACCAACUGUAUGCAACAGAUGAAGAUUAUAAUUCUACUGAUGAUUUUACAUCCUCAGAUGAUGAUUUUUCUGUUAGCCACAUCGGUUUCUCUAAACAGAGACAUAGACCAAAAACUUCAAAAGAUAGAAUUGGUUUCUCUUCAAAAUUUCCUAGCCAUAAGAAAAAUAGCACUUUUGCACCAAGAACACCAAUGAAAUUUUCAAAUGAGAGCACUGUCAAUCAAGAGCAGACGUAUGAAUCAAUGGAUAAAUUUUUAGAUGGUGUUCAGGAAGUGGCUUACAUUCACUCAAACCAGAACGUGAUUGGAUCAAGCAAAGCUGAAAAUCAUAUGAGCCGAUGGGCAGCACGUGAUGUAUUUGAAUUGAAGCAAUUUUCCCAGCUUCCUGCUAACAUAGCUGUUUGCAUUUCUGAGACACAUAAAGACAAGACGAAGACAGAUACAUCGACACACACAAAGAAAGGCCAUCAGCCAAGUGAAGAAGGCAUUUCAUUUCCCCUUUACAUUUCACAUCCUGUGAGCCAGAAGAAGAAAAAAGUUUACCGAACAGACCAGACCACCUUCAUAAUUGGGGAAACACCAAAAGGGAUUCGUAGAAAACAAUUUGAAGAAAUGGCUUCUUAUUUUAAUUUGUCUUCUGUGGAAUUUGCUCAACGUGUAACUAAUGCUACAUCAGAAGAACGACAGCAAAUGCUAAAAGACUUUUAUGUUUCUCAAUAUUCAGAGGUAAAAGACUUUUUUGUGGAUACUGCUGCAGAAUUCAUUAAACCUGCCUAUGAGAAAGGAAAGAGAAUCAGGAAUAAGUCUGGAAAGAGAGAAUCUUCUAUAAAAGAAAGGCUGCCAGAUUCUGAAACUUUGUCAUUUAAAGAUUCUACCAAAAAAAUUUCUCAAAUUUGCAGCCCAAAAAUAUAUAAAGAAAAAUCGGUUAGCCCUCAAACCCAUGGCUUCUGUAGAGAAGGGGUGCUUUCUAAUGAUGCAGAAACUCAGAAAUUACCUACAAGCUCUACCCAAGAGCCUGACAAUGAAAAAAACAGCCAACUAUCCAAAUAUACUAUAGCAUCCAGUUCCCUGAACAGUAAAUCUGAAGCACAUAAGAAAAGGUUAGAAAAUACCAUGGAAGACCUGCAAGACCUGACAGGAAUGAGCAUUUCAAGAAAUGAACCCCCUUUCAAAGUAGAAAACAAAAAUAUGAAAAAUCCAAUGUUAGAAAAUACUUCUGUGGUAGGCUUACUUGGUGACACCUCUAUUCUUGAUGACCUCUUUAAAAGUCAUGGGAACAGUCCCACACGGUUGCCAAAGAAAAUUCUUUCAGGGCCCAUAGAAAAAGCAAAACAGAGACCAAAAGAUUUCUGGGACAUCUUGAAUGAGCAGAAUGAUGACAGUCUUAGUAAACUCACCGACUUGGCCAUGAUAGAGACUCUGUGUGAAAAAGUGCCCCUUGCUGCAUCUUCCAAAAGGAAAGAGGAGCUAGAAACCUCUCUUUGGAAAUCAAAUGAGAAUUUUUUGUGGAAAAAAGUUAACUCAAGUGAUACAGAUAAAAACACAACCAAUACGCAAGAAUAAUAUAUAAACAGACAAAUAAAUCACUACACCAAUGAACUUCUGCCAUCGAUGUUUACAACACUGUUUCACCCUAAUUAUGUUAACUUGAACACACUUGUCAACAUAUAUUUUUAUUAAACUCUUGCGCUGAUUGUUUUUAAAGUCUAAAUUAUUAUCAUGUAUUUGCUUCCUUGAUAUCUUCCUUGAUCUUUUAAAAAUAUGAUUUUAUUAUAGUAUAAACCUGUUAUGAAAUGGAAAAGAUUCUGUAUUUAUCAGGCAACCUGGGGCAUAUCGCUUGCAGAGUAAUUAUGUGACCUUCAGUAAGUCGCUUACCCUGCUGUUCAGCUAUUUCCUAUAGGAAAGAUGAAGGGUUUGAACUUGAUCAACACAAGCAUCCUUCUAGUUUAAAAAGCUUUGGUUCACUCUCCCAGAUUCCAUUAAAUCAUAGGCCAAAUUAUGUUCACACACACACCCUCCCCCGCAUCAGGUGUACAUUGAUGUGCUCCUUUCCUACUAACAUUUGAAAAUUAUUAAGUUAACUGUUUUCCUUUAUCUUCAGUAUUAUGUACUACUGUUAUUAAAUUACUUUAGAUGACAGUAAUUACUAGAACUGAAUAUAUGGUAUUGUGUUAAAGUAGUAAGUUUAUAAAUGCUCAAAAUCAAAGAGUUAAUGCUGUAUAACUUUACCAUAAGAGAUAUAAUGCUGAAGUAACAUAAUUAUUACCUUAGCCACAGAAUGUCGACAUCAACUUUUCAAAUGACUAUUAUGAUCUCAUCAAUAUAUAGCUUUGUAUAAUAUUUUUGUAUUUCUUAAGUAUAAAGAAAUGAGUAAAUAUUUAAUUUUAUUUGAAACUGAUAUUUGUUGGAUUUAAUUUAAAUGGUUUAUACCCAGUGGAAUGUACUCAUUGCUGAAUUCCUUUAUUUGGAAACAUUCAGUCAGGCCCUGAGCGUGGUACGAGCUCAAGAAGCAGAGCUGCGCCACUACUACAGGUUAGAGAAAGGAAGCUCCAUCUGUGAAGAUUCGUGACCAUGAAGCCCUUGGCCUUGUGCCCAGCAUGCAGUAGUAGGGACCUGCAGCUUCUUCUGACCCACAUUCAGAUGCACUAUAGAAGCUUUCCCUCAGUUGAGCUCACAGGCUGAUGGGAGGAAAGGCCCUCAGAAGACCCAGGAUGAAGAGCCAUUGCACACAAAU